rnacentral:misc_RNA from 1 species
GCUGAAGAACGUAGCGAAAUGCGAUACUUGGUGUGAAUUGCAGAAUCCCGUGAACCAUCGAGUCUUUGAACGCAAGUUGCGCCUCAAGCCAUUAGGUUGAGGGCACGUCUGCCUGGGCGUCACAUAUCGUUGCCUGAUGCCAGUUUCCUCGUGAUGGGUGACUGUGCAGGGCGAAUGAUGGCUUCCCGUGAGCAUUGUUGCCUCAUGGUGGGUUGAAAAUUGAGUCCUUGGUAGGGAGCGCCGUGAUAGAUGGUGGUUGAGUGACGAACGAGACCCAAUCAUGUGAGACCCCUACCGAAUUUGGCCUUCAUGACCCACAUGCGUCUUUGGAACGCUCAUGACGAGACCUCAGGUCAGGCGGGGCUACCCGCUGAGUUUAAGCAUAUCAAUAAGCGGAGGA